AUUAGCAGCAGUGGUGGCAGUGGUGGUGGGAUUAGCAGCAGUGGUGGCAGUGGUGGUGGCAGGAUUAGCAGCAGUGGUGGCAGUGGUGGUGGCAGGAUUAGCAGCAGUGGUGGCAGUGGUGGUGGCAGGAUUAGCAGCAGUGGUGGCAGUGGUGGUGGCAGGAUUAGCAGCAGUGGUGGCAGUGGUGGUGGCAGGAUUAGCAGCAGUGGUGGCAGUGGUGGCAGGAUUAGCAGCAGUGGUGGCAGUGGUGGUGGCAGGAUUAGCAGCAGUGGUGGCAGUGGUGGUGGCAGGAUUAGCAGCACUGGUGGUCAUGGUGGUGGGAGCAGCAGUGGUGGCAUCAGUGGUGGCAGGAUUAGCAGCAGUGGUGGCAGUGGUGGUGGCAGGAUUAGCAGCACUGGUGGUCAUGGUGGUGGGAGCAGCAGUGGUGGCAUCAGUGGUGGCAGUAGUAAAAGCUACUGUGUCUUGAGCAUUGCCAAGUGCCAUGCAUUCAGUCCACCCAACAACUCUGUGAUGGUUUUUGCCUACUCCCCUUUCACAGGUGAGGAGAGACAAGUGGACAGGAGAGUGGGGGUCUACUUGCCAGGCAUUCCAGGGUUUUAAUAAGAUGUGACGGAAGCUGACAUUUUUGCAAGCACCAAGAACUCGCGUCACUUUGAAAACUUGCAAGUUGAUUUGAAGAAGCACCA
rnacentral:lncRNA from 1 species